GUGUCAGCCGCCGCGGUAAAACGUAGGGGGCGAGCGUUGUCCGGAAUUACUGGGCGUAAAGGGCGUGUAGGCGGUCUAAUAAGUCUCGAGGUGAAAACUUACGGCUCAACCGUAAGCGUGCCUGAGAAACUGUUGGACUUGAGGGCAGGAGAGGGGAGUGGAAUUCCCAGUGUAGCGGUGAAAUGCGUAGAUAUUGGGAGGAACACCGGUGGCGAAGGCGGCUCUCUGGCCUGUUACUGACGCUGAGGCGCGAAAGCGUGGGGAGCGAACGGGAUUAGAUACCCCGGUAGUCCACGCCGUAAACGAUGGGUGCUAGGUGUAGGAGGUAUCGACCCCUUCUGUGCCGUAGUAAACACAAUAAGCACCCCGCCUGGGGAGUACGGCCGCAAGGUUGAAACUCAAAUAAAUUGACGG
rnacentral:rRNA from 1 species